ACGAUUUGAUUUAGGAUUUAAGAUUUGAUUAUGAUUUGAUUUAGGAUUUAGGAUUUUAUUAGGAUUAGGAUUUGAUCAGGAUUUGGUUUAGAAUUUAGGGUUUAGGAUUUGGUUUAGAAUUUAAGAUUUGAUUUAGGCUUUAGAGUUUGGUUAGGAAUUUGAUUUAGAGUUAGGAUUUGGUUAAGGUUUAAUUUAGAAAUUGAUUUAGGAUUUAAGAUUUGAUUAAGAUUUGAUUUAGGAUUUAGAGUUUGAUUAGGAUUUGAUUUAGAAUUAGAGUUUGAUUUAGGAUUUAGGAUUUGGAUUAGGAUUUAGAGUUUGGUUUAGGAUUUAGGAUUUGGUUUAGUAUUUAGAAUUUGGUUUAGGAUUUAGAAUUUGAUUUAGGAUUUAAGGUUUGGUUAGGGUUUGAUUUAGGAUUUAGGAUUUUAUUAGAGUUUGAUUUAGGAUUUGAUUAGGAUUUAGUUUAGGAUUUAGGAUUUAGGAUUUUAUUAUGGAUUGUUUAGGAUUUAGUUUAGGAUUUAGGAUUUAGGAUUUUAUUAUGGUUUGUUUAGGAUUUAAGAUUUAGUUAACUUUUGGCCUAAAAUUUGAAUGAAGGCCAAUACGAUUUUAACUAGGAUUAAAUUAAGAUUGAAUUGAGAUGUAUUUGAGAUGUAUUUGUGAUCAUUCUAAUAUUUCUUUAAGAUUUUUUAUUAUUUCUUUGUAAUUUCUUUGAAGUUUCUUUGAAUUUGAUUAAAUCUUGCUUAGCAUUGUUAUGGUAUAAUUAGAAUU
rnacentral:lncRNA from 1 species